GAUGAACGCUGGCGGCGUGCCUAAUACAUGCAAGUCGAGCGAACGGACGAGAAGCUUGCUUUUCUGAUGUUAGCGGCGGACGGGUGAGUAACACGUGGAUCACCUACCUAUAAGACUGGGAUAACUUCGGGAAACCGGAGCUAAUACCGGAUAAUCUUUUGAACCGCAUGGUUCAAAAGUGAAAGACGGUCUUGCUGUCAGUUAUAGAUGGAUCCGAGCUGCUUUAGCUAGUUGGUAAGGUAAAGGCUUACCAAGGCAACGAUGCAUAGCCGACCUGAGAGGGUCGUCCGCCAGACUGGAUCUGAGACACGGUCCACACUCCUACGGUGGGCAGCAGUACGGACUCUUCCGCAAUGGGCGAGAGCCUGACGUAGCAACGCCGCGUGAGUGAUGAAGGUCUUCGGAUCCUAAAACUCUGUUAUUAGGGAAGAACAUAUGUGUAAGUAACUGUGCACAUCUUGACGGUACCUAAUCAGAAAGCCACGGCUAACUACGUG
rnacentral:rRNA from 1 species